UAGACGGUUUUCGUUGUGAAA
rnacentral:piRNA from 1 species